UCAAUUUUGAGCACCACAGAGAGUACUGAGGAAGUUCUAAGCAAAGUGUAAAGUGAUGCACAUUCUUACAUAUUAGCAUAUGCAGAUCAUACAGAAACUACUAUAUAUAUAUUUGUAACUUGGUUUUUAUUCUUGUAUCUUAUCUGUUUACAGGCUAAGAGUUCUACAGUGCUACAGUUCAUACCCUGGACGUCACUCAUACACAUCCUUUGCUUUACCACUCAGAGAUUUCCCUGACAUUUUUUCUUGCUCAAAGGUGGAACUCAAAAAAAAAAAAAAAAAAAAAAAGGCAAGAAAAAGAAACCACAGAGCAAACCUUGGACUGGCUGAGAUGUGUAAUAACAAAACAAAGGACUCUGGAAAAGGAGAGAGGGCACCAGGACACAGUGAGAGAGAUGAGUUGGUGGUCGGAGUCGUGUGCAAAAACCUAUCCUUGGGAGGUAAGAAACUUGGACUCAUGUAUCAACUAUUGCCCUGUAAACCAUUAUUUCCUUAAAAAAAAGUUGUUUGGGAGGAAUAAAAGAGGUAUAAAGUGUUUUCUUCUUCUUAACAUGUCCCUCUCAAACACACCCAAGUUUAUAAUUCUCUUUUAGAAAAAGGUACCUAAGGAGGAGGAGGAGGGUGUGGGGGCUGGAACACCGGGUUAAGCCCACACAUCACCAUGGGUAAGGACGCAUAGACCCGGAUGUGAGCCCUCGCUCUUCAUCUGCAAGAACGCUUCCUGAGCGGUAAAACAGGUCCGUAGGUGUCUAUGUUUCUCUCCUUCCCUCUAUCUCCCCUCUCUUCUCAGUUUCUAUCUGUCUUGCCAAGUGAAAAUAGGAAAAAAAAAAAAAAAAAAAAAAGGGCUGCCGGGAGUGGUAGAUUCGUAGUACAGGCAGCAAACCCCAGCGAUAACCCUGGUGGGGAAAAAAAAAAAAAAAAAGAUUUAGUCUAUGCUUACUCUAAUGAAGAAGCCAUCAUAAAAAUUCAGAAGUACUGAGUUCAGAGAGCUUUUGGAUUGCUGAAAAUGUGGAGGCACUGGGAGGUUGGUGUAGCUGGAAAGCACAUGGAAGCUCUGUGUCCGUUCUCCAGUACUUUGUUCUAUGCAAUGGCUUCCAUCUGGCUGCGCCUUCGCUGUGUAUCUCUUCAUGAUGAACUGGUAAUUUAUUAAGGAAACUAUUUUCCUAAAUUCUGUGGGUCAUUCUAGCAAAUAAUCGAGCUAAGGGAGAGGGCUGUAGGAACCAUCAGUUUACAACCAACAGGUUAGAAACCCAGUACUUGCAAUUGACAUCUAAAACUUUGGAAAAUCUUGAGGCAAUAACCUGUGGAAUCUUUUUUGUGCAAUGUAAUGUGUGCAUUUAACCAUGUGCAUCAUCACCUGGCCCCUAACCUGUGGAAUCUUAUGCUAUCUCAGAUAGGUAGGUUUUUUGUUUGUUUGUUUUUUAAACUGAAUUAAAUUGUAAAAUAUAAGUAGAGAAUUGGAAGAUUUCUUGGAGUGGGGAAAAGCAUACAUUUGGUAACUAGAAGUAAGUAAAGUGUGAGUGUUAUGUGUAGUGAAAUAUAAUUUUAUAUACAUAUGGCAUAUUACAGUAUGUAAAGUUAUUCGUUAGAUGCUCAACCUAGAGCCUCUGAGUUUGAAAAUGUUUUUCUAGUAUACCUUUUUUAAGCAGAGGAGUCUGUCUUCCUAUCAUUCCUCCUUUCUCUGUGGAAGCUGGGAUUCUCUUACCUGAAAAGUUGUAUAGCCAAACUGUCAGUCACCAACUUCUAGAUACAAAAUACUCGUUGCGCUAAGGGCUAGGUAGAAAUAAAAAUCUAGUUUCCAAA